AUACAUGCAAGUCGAGCGAGCGGAACUAACAGAUUUACUUCGGUAAUGACGUUAGGAAAGCGAGCGGCGGAUGGGUGAGUAACACGUGGGGAACCUGCCCCAUAGUCUGGGAUACCACUUGGAAACAGGUGCUAAUACCGGAUAAGAAAGCAGAUCGCAUGAUCAGCUUUUAAAAGGCGGCGUAAGCUGUCGCUAUGGGAUGGCCCCGCGGUGCAUUAGCUAGUUGGUAAGGUAAAGGCUUACCAAGGCGAUGAUGCAUAGCCGAGUUGAGAGACUGAUCGGCCACAUUGGGACUGAGACACGGCCCAAACUCCUACGGGAGGCAGCAGUAGGGAAUCUUCCACAAUGGACGCAAGUCUGAUGGAGCAACGCCGCGUGAGUGAAGAAGGUUUUCGGAUCGUAAAGCUCUGUUGUUGGUGAAGAAGGAUAGAGGUAGUAACUGGCCUUUAUUUGACGGUAAUCAACCAGAAAGUCACGGCUAACUACGUGCCAGCAGCC
rnacentral:rRNA from 1 species